AACAUGACAGUAAGCUGUAGUGAAACUAUCGACAUUUCACGUCUGCAAACGUGCUGUCAAGUAUUGUGUUUGUUUUUAUUUAUGGCUUCUGUGAUGAGCUCCGACAUCACAGCAUCUGGCUAAACAAUUAUUCCCACAACACCCAGGGGAGAUUGAGAUUAUUUCUCCUCCCCUCCAUGAGCGCAGCAGCGCACAGCUCUUUAAUUCAGUGUCUCAAGAGGGAAGCAGGAUGCUGGAAACACGCAGCAAAUGACAGGGUGGGGUGACUGCAUCUGGCCGGUUUCACCUUCCACUCAACAAGUGACAGCCAAGAGAAGAAAAGACGGUCACGAGAGCUGAUAGAUGAAAUCUUGCGCUGCAUCUAAGGAUCCCCCUGAUGGGAGAAACAGCAGUAGAUGCUGCCAUUAUCCUAUGCUGUGUGCCUCGCGAAGACAGAUGGUCCUGGGGGACCGGCGAAGCAGCGCCAUCGGCCUCGCUCCUCUCCUCAAAGAGGCUAUUGGUGGAUUCAGCACAGUCCUGGGCUAAUAUUAGAUAAGGACGACUGCAGAGCGAGGACAUUUGGCAUCAACCAGCGAUAUAGGGAAACCUUCAGUCUGGCUAUUUAUAACCUGGAGAAAUUAGAGGAAGAAAGCCUGCAUGCUGUGAUGUUCUGUCACUCGCUUCGUUACCUUGAGAAAUGUGCUUCUGGGAAUAACAGGAUUCCACCGCUUCUUUUUAUUCUAACCUACUCCAGUUAGGAUUCAACUCCAUGUCGUCUAUAGAGGAUCUUUUACCACAACAGAAAAGGAAAGUUCAGUUCACUCAAUUCAGGAUUAGCUGUUGUUAAGUCCGACCCCUAAGUAAUGGAAUAUUAAUAAAAACAGAUGUAUAUUGAUGUGAUUUAUUUAAAGAAUUAUCAUUGUAUAAUGAGUCAUUUGAGAGAAUGUCCUUCACCCAGAGGACAUGAGUGUAUAUCCCCCCCAAGCUGUUUGUGUCUCAUUUCAGCUGCUACAGACCUGCAGGCCAUUCAUCAAACAGGUACAGCAGACUGGAAGCUCAGUUCGGCCUGUAAUCACUGCUCCUCUCUUCUUUUUGCAUAUUAAAUUAAGGCAGGAUUGAUAUCCAACCAUAUGAUGAAUACUAUAUAUACAUUGGCUCAGUUGUGAGUACAUGUGUUUUUUCUUAUAUUUUCACACUUUAAACUCUUCAUUGCAGGCAAUGCAUGAAAAUACAAACAAAAUACAUGGUUCCCACGAGUCCUGAAAAUCCUUGAACGUUUGUGAAUUUGAGAGCGGGGCCUUUAAAGUUUUUGAAAAUAAACAUAAAUAGCCAGAAGUCAUUGAAAUUGCUUUUAAAAUACAUAUAUGUUGUGCACGAAUAGAAAUGUACGUUCUUUUUGCUAUCACGUGCGUGCAUGAGUGAUUGAAGUCGAAUGUUGCAGCAAGCAACGGAGAAAGCUAACGUUGAGUGAACCUUCAGCUAUGCAUGGAAAAUGUAGAUGUGCAGGACAUCCAUCUGGCCUGAACGCCAUGACCUUGAUCCGUGUUUCAAACUAUGCUGUGUCGGGUCCUUGAAUUGGGCCUGGAAAGUCCUUAAAUUGUUUAUGAAGGUGUAGGAACCCUAUAACGUGUCCCGAGGAUGGAUAACAUUCUCAGGUUGUGCAGCAAAUUCAAAAGUCAUAUCACCCAAGACCUUCAAAUAACAAAACUAAAACUUCUAACAGUUUUACCAUUUGAGCGUCUUGGGUGAAAUAAAAAGAUAAUUUUCUGCACAUCCCACUUUGAAGCAUUUAUAUUCCCUCAUGAGUAGCAGGUACAACGUUGAAUCUGCAUAGUGGAUUAAAACGAUGAACUCCUGUCAGCAACAAGAGAAGAGCACAUUUCUCAAAAGGGAUUUUUUUAUGUUUCACAGUUUUUCUAUUUUGACUUGUUUUUCAAAAGGAUUAAAAGUAACUGACUCAUGUAAAGGGACACAAUACACAGAAUAAUAAAGGAUCCUAAUAUAGUAUUCAGCUGUUAAUAUUAAAAGCUGUUUCCCUCAUAAUUACAUGGCACAGGAUUUAUCACAAGUACAGGACACAAACAGAUGUAAGGCUCAACGUCAUCAGCCGAACUAAAGUUAUGUUAAGAUAGUUUUGAACUUCGACCGCGCCCUGACAAUAUCAAUCAAUAAAAUAUUCAAUCUGCCGACGUUUGAAAUGUAAGGUGCUUCAGGAUUAUUCAAACAUGUGCCAUGAAGCACAACUGCUUCAUCAGUCCCACACAAAAGAGAGAAGAUUUCCACUCGUCAGCCGUAAUCAGCGGUUUGUGAUAUCGUAUACUUCUCCCACACACAAUUAUGAUACUUGAGAUUUCCUUCAGCGUGUUUUCUCAUCCCGCCUCUGGAAACCUGUCAGUCUUUGAUUGUCCCUCGAUAUAUUAUCAACACACCUGAGGGUGUGUGUGUGUUGAAUGUUUACCGUCGUUGUCAACAUGAUUUAAGAAGUGCGUGAGUGAGUAAUGUGCGAGGAGUGGGAACGUUGAAUCUGUGCUGAGGUCUUGGUGAGAGAUAAUGUAAGACAUGUAGAGCGACAGUAUGUUAUACACGGCCUAUAUUUGGUCUGUUAUAUUAUAUUGUACAUUGUCUACUGUCUAUAUUUUGUAAUGUUGCACAAGAUCCUGACG